rnacentral:lncRNA from 1 species
UUCAAACUACUUGUGUGCGAUUAUUAUGCUUCCUGUUUAUUUCAAAACCUUAAUCUUCUAAGUUCAUCUCAUACUCUCUGAAAAACACACACACACCCAAAGCUCUCUUCUUUACUAUUAUUUGUGCUAUUGUUCUGACUAGCCGGCUGAAAGCCAAAGCUAGACUUUGGAAUCUCUCUUGCUUUCAUCAAGUGUUUGCUGAAGAGUUUCUGGCUAUUUUACUGCUCUAUUUAUUCUGUUAUUUGAAGCUUUCAAGUGGUAUGUCUCUAUAAUUUAAAUAUUAUUCUCCAAAAACUAUGUGUUUAUUUCUCCCUUUACAUAAUCUCUCACUACAUGUCUAGCUUUCUUGCAUUAUGUGACUACACCUUAGUCUAUGUGACUACACCUUAGUCUGUUAUGUUCUUUCUUCAUGCUUCUGCAUCUUAAUAGUGCCGUUAUGUUUUCUUAUCCUCCCCUGAUGUUUAUACGAGCACUUUCAUGUGAUCUCAUUCCCUUUAACCCCUUUUAUGUAGGAGUAUUAGUUCUAGGCCGGGGGUAGAACCAUAUUGCUAUCCCUAACCUGGAACCAGGUUCUCUUGAACCUUUACUCAAAUAAGUCCCAUUCCCUUAACCCCUUUAUGUGUUGAGCCUUGACUAGGGUUUGGAAGUAUCCUAAUCACCACCCAGACCCAUGUCUGGCUUUUAAAAGUCUGCUCUUUAUUUGCUUGAAUCAAGUAAAGGGUCAGGGGUGUGCCAGUCUUACCCAUGG